rnacentral:rRNA from 1 species
UACGGAGGAUGCAAGCGUUAUCCGGAAUGAUUGGGCGUAAAGCGUCCGCAGGUGGCAAUGUAAGUCUGCUGUCAAAGCGUCUGGCUCAACCAGAUAAAGGCAGUGGAAACUACAUAGCUAGAGUAAGGUAGGGGUAGAGGGAAUUCCUGGUGUAGCGGUGAAAUGCGUAGAGAUCAGGAAGAACACCGGUGGCGAAAGCGCUCUGCUGGACCUAAACUGACGCUGAGGAGCGAAAGCGUGGGGAGCGAACAGG